rnacentral:rRNA from 1 species
UUGCUAGUAAUGGCAGGUCAGCAUACUGCCGUGAAUACGUUCCCGGGCCUUGUACACACCGCCCGUCACACCAUGAGAGUUGGAAAUACCCGAAGCCUGUGAGCUAACUUAUAGAGGCAGCAGUCGAAGGUAGAAUCAAUGAUUGGGGUGAAGUCGUAACAAGGUACC